AUUUCUUAUAGUUACCCUUGUACAGGAUGUCCUGCACAAGCCAUUCCUCAGCAGUGAGGAGGACUUCCUCUCUCCCUGGCUCUGUUCUCCCUCCAACAGUCUCAGCAGCUCCAACAGGCGCCUCAUCAGGUGGAUUAGGACGACGAUUCUCUGACGUGAUGGGGGAAAGUACACAGGGUCCCUGUACUCUCUGGCCUAUUAACAGAGAAACAAUUGUGGACAUCAUGUUUCUGCUGUUCCUCAGACACGGCUUUGACCAGGUCAUAUGUUCCAGCUCUGCGGCAAGGAACGUGAAGAGCGGGCCACUUCCAGAAGCUCUUCUUCUUCUUCUCAUUUCUCCCUCCAUCAGUCUCAGCAGCAUCAGGCGGAGGGAGUCAAGGAAGGUUUCUGAUUCAUACAAGGCCAUUCACCCAGUCUAA
ensembl:lncRNA